rnacentral:rRNA from 1 species
UACAGAGGUCUCAAGCGUUGUUCGGAUUCAUUGGGCGUAAAGGGUGCGCAGGCGGCCAUGUGUGUGAGGCGUGAAAGCCCGGAGCUUAACUCCGGAAUUGCACCUCAAACUACAUGGCUAGAGCAUUGGAGAGGGUAGCGGAAUUCACGGUGUAGCAGUGAAAUGCGUAGAUAUCGUGAGGAACACCAGAGGCGAAGGCGGCUACCUGGACAAUUGCUGACGCUCAGGCACGAAAGCGUGGGGAGCAAAAGGG